UGGCAGGUCAUGUAAAAUAUUUACCAGCAGUGAAAAAUGUUAAGCUUGUGGAAUGUAAGGUUUGAAACCCCUACUAAGAACUGUUUAGUUUGAGCCUAUUCUAAUGGGGAAGUGCUUGUCUUGUUGUGAGCCAGUUAACUCCAGUUCUAAUUCUUCCUGUGAUGACAACCUUAGUGGACUUGCUGUUGGUGGGGGUGACAACACUAAAAGCCAAGAAAUCAGUCAAGCGAAGGAAGCUAAACGUUCACAAACCUCAAGCGCUAACUACAAAUCUCAGCUUAGCAGCUCGAGCAAAGCAUCAAAUCCUUCUUCAGCUGAAGCGUCGGGCAAGAAAAUGUUUCCCACCUACUCCAAAAUCCCACCCAUUAAAAAACAAGCCAAUGGAGACAGCAAACGUUUGUCGUUGCUCUGCCGAGAUUACUCUGAGCAGGAUAUUCAUAACUUGUUUGAAGCUUACCGUGAUAUUAGCCAUGAUAUGAUUCUUGCCGAAGGAAUUGAAACAUUUUGUAAGGACCUGGAUGUAAAACCUGAAGAAUUUAUUGUAUUGAUUUUAGCCUGGAAAUUCCAGGCUGCAACAAUGUGCUGCUUUACAAGAGAGGAGUUUGUUCAAGGUUGUAAAUGUCUCAAAGUUGAUUCUGUCAAAGGGAUUCGCUCUAAAUUUAAUGACCUUCUCUUAGAAGUUCAAAACAAGCAGAAUUUUCGAGAUUUCUAUCGAUGGACGUACAAAUUUGGGCUAGAAUCUGGGCAAAGGACUUUGCCAAUAGAUAUGGCUAUAAUUCUUUGGAAACUUAUAUUCACUCGGACAGAACCUCCAAUCCUUAAACAUUGGCUAGAUUUCCUUGCCAAGCAUCCUGACAUCAGAGGCAUUCCAAAAGACACCUGGGACAUGUUUUUAAAUUUCACUGAACAAGUUGGGGAUGACCUAUCUGCAUAUGACGACACAGAAGCUUGGCCAAGUCUCUUUGAUGACUUUGUCGAGUAUGAAAACGAUUUCAGAAAUCAGAAUGUGAAAACUGACUGAGUGUUCUUUCUAUCUAGUCAAUAGAAUGAUAAACUCUCCCCAAACACCCCACCCCCACUCCAAUUACUAUGUUUCAUCACAUGUUGCUAUUUUUAGCUUCAAAACUGAGUUAAGAAUAGUAUUUAAUUUUUUCUGCAAAUUAAAUACACAAAUGGAACAAAAUAUCUGUGUAUAAAGGAACUUUAGUCAAAAGAUGAUGUUUUUUCAUAUUGGAAGAAUAUUACAUUUUAGAUUGUUUCUUUCUGAACCUGAAGCCAAAUUGUAUCUCUGCUUUUUCUUCAAGUGAAAUGGUAAUUGGUACUUUAUUUAAAAGGUCAGUGUGUGACAUAGUUGGGCUUAAAAUAAAGGGGGACUGUGUCAGUUGUCAACACCAAAGUGCACUUCCCCUCAUUGGUGCAUUUUUUCUCCCUCUCCUCUAUCCUCUUUCUCUGCUCCCCUCCCAUAAAUUCUUUCUGUCUCUGCACAAAUUUGUUUCCAGUUUUGCAUUGUCCAAAUUAUUUAUUAGCAAAUUAAUGUCUUACGACAACAUAAUUCUGAGAACUAAAUGACUUCCACCUCUGUUUCUUCUCUCUGUCAGAGUUGUGUGUGUGUGUGUCUAUGCAUAUCUGCGCAUGUACGUAUGCAGGGUCUGUGUCUUCUUUCAACUAGCACAGACACUUCUCCCAGAUUCUUUUAGCUGUGGUCUGAUGAGUUGUCUCGCUAUGACUAAUCUCUCUCCCUGCUCUCUCAAAAAUUUUUGCCUUUCCAGGCAUAUUCCCCCAAUCCAAUUUUUACUUUGGACUAAACUGUUUUCAAAUUUUCUUUACUAUUCUUAUAAAAUAUUGAGAAUUUGUUAGCCGUCCGCCAUCAAAUCUUCAAAUACACAAUAUAAUUUUUCAAAUUAUCAUUUGUAUUUAUUUUCAUUUACCUUUUUUAUUGUUGUUUUAAAUAUCCAAAUAAAAUUCCUAAAUGCCCUUUACUUUCGUAAAUCUACUCCUCCCAUUUAAAAAUAAAGGGUUACUCCAUAAAUUAGAAAGGCCCUACUUUUCUCCCAAACCUUUCGUUAUUGAAAUACAUCUUUCAUGAUUUAUCAAACAACUAGUAUCAUCUUCAUCUUCAUUAAAGUGAAUCCCUACAUCAUCAUCAUCAUCAACAUUAUCAUCAUCAAUUUAGGAAAUCAUUUCCUACAUUAAUGUAGAAUUCUUUGGGUACUUUCUGAUUUAUAUUUUAAUAGUAAAACAGUAAGAUCUCCUGUUCUUUCAGCCAUGGCAGCAAUAUUAGAAUAUAGAGGGGAUCUUCUUACAGAUUCCUGAUCAACAGGCUGCUCCAAGCACUAGUAUGCUGCUCUCACUUAUAUUGGUCCUUGCCCAGUGUGUGUGGACAUUGUCAUAUGCUAGCAACAAAUAGUUGGGGACAAUGAGUGAGAGUUUAGCAGCAUAUGGUGAGGGAAGGAGCAGAGUGGAUCAGUUAGGCCAUCUUCAAAUGCCCAACAGCUUUGUAACCUCUUAUGAUUACAUGCACACACACACACACACACAGACACACACACACACACACACA
rnacentral:misc_RNA from 1 species